rnacentral:rRNA from 1 species
GACGAACGCUGGCGGCGUGCUUAACACAUGCAAGUCGAACGGAAAGGCCCUUUCGGGGGUACUCGAGUGGCGAACGGGUGAGUAACACGUGGGUGAUCUGCCCUGCACUUUGGGAUAAGCCUGGGAAACUGGGUCUAAUACCGGAUAGGACUACGCGCUGCAUGUCGUGUGGUGGAAAGCUUUUGCGGUGUGGGAUGGGCCCGCGGCCUAUCAGCUUGUUGGUGGGGUGAUGGCCUACCAAGGCGACGACGGGUAGCCGGCCUGAGAGGGUGACCGGCCACACUGGGACUGAGAUACGGCCCAGACUCCUACGGGAGGCAGCAGUGGGGAAUAUUGCACAAUGGGCGCAGCCUGAUGCAGCGACGCCGCGUGAGGGAUGACGGCCUUCGGGUUGUAAACCUCUUUCAGUGCCGACGAAGCGCAAGUGACGGUAGGCAUAGAAGAAGGACCGGCCAACUACGUGCCAGCAGCCGCGGUAACAC